AUUGAACGCUGGCGGCAGGCUUAACACAUGCAAGUCGAACGAGUGGCAGACGGGUGAGUAAUGCUUGGGAAUCUGGCUUAUGGAGGGGGAUAACUACGGGAAACUGUAGCUAAUACCGCGUACCAUAGGAUGAGCCCAAGGGGGAUAAGGUAGUUAGUGAGGUAAAGGCUCACCAAGCCGACGAUCUCUAGCUGGUCUGAGAGGAUGACCCGCCACACUGGGACUGCGACACGGCCCAUGCUCCUACGGGAGGCAGCAGCGGAGAAUAUUGCGUAAUGGGGGCAACCUGACGCAGCCAGGCCGCGUGUAUGAAGAAGGCCUUCGGGUUGUAAAGUUCUUUCGUUAGCGAGGCGUUAACUACAGAAGAAGCACCGGCUAACUCCGUGCCAGCAGCCGCGGUAAUAC
rnacentral:rRNA from 1 species